GUGGCUGUAGCUCAAUGGUUAGAGCACCUGCUUGUGGAGCAGGGGGUUGUGGGUUCGAGCCCCAUCAGCCACC
rnacentral:tRNA from 1 species